rnacentral:rRNA from 1 species
UACGUAGGGGGCAAGCGUUGUCCGGAAUCAUUGGGCGUAAAGCGCGUGUAGGCGGUCCGGUAAGUCCGCUGUGAAAGUCGGGGGCUCAACCCUCGGAUGCCGGUGGAUACUGUCGGGCUUGAGUACGGAAGAGGCGAGUGGAAUUCCUGGUGUAGCGGUGAAAUGCGCAGAUAUCAGGAGGAACACCAAUUGCGAAGGCAGCUCGCUGGGACGUUACUGACGCUGAGACGCGAAAGCAUGGGGAGCGAACAGG